rnacentral:rRNA from 1 species
UACGUAGGGGGCAAGCGUUAUCCGGAUUUACUGGGUGUAAAGGGAGCGUAGACGGCGAUGCAAGCCAGAUGUGAAAGCCCGGGGCUCAACCCCGGGACUGCAUUUGGAACUGUAUAGCUAGAGUGUCGGAGAGGCAGGCGGAAUUCCUAGUGUAGCGGUGAAAUGCGUAGAUAUUAGGAGGAACACUAGUGGCGAAGGCGGCCUGCUGGACGAUGACUGACGUUGAGGCUCGAAAGCGUGGGGAGCAAACAGG